GAAAAGGUGGUUUGACAAUCUAUAUAAUUAAAAGUAUCAUCUUGACCACUACCUGUCUGCCCUGUAUAUUGAUAUUAGAAAAAAACUCUACCAUAUAUCGCUAUGAUUUUUGGCCAUCUUACUCACAGUCCUCCUCCACUGAGGCAGCCCUGAGGAUUUUUCCCA